rnacentral:lncRNA from 1 species
GAUGUUCUUUUUUACAUCUUCAUGUUUAUCCAUUUGCUGUUCCUUGUGUUUAUUACUGCUUUACACAAUAGUUUUUUUUUUGUUUGUUUGUUUGUUUUCCUUUGUGAUCUGUAUACUGGCUUAUUUAAGUGAUUACUUUCCAAUUCUGAUUUCCUCCUUCCUAUAUCUUCUUGCUUCUUUUCUAUCUAGAGGCAACCAUUAAAUAUUUCCUUUCAGGAUAGGUUUAGUAUUGCCAUAUUCUUUUAGUUUUUGCUUGAGAAAUUCUUUAUUUCUCUCCCUAUUCUAAAUGAUAAUCUUGCUGGGUAGAGUAUUCCAGGUUGCAGAUUUUUCCCUUUCAAAACUCUGAAUGUAUCUUGUUACUCCCUUCUGGCCUGCAGCCUUUCUGUAGAGAAAUCAGCUGAUAGCCUUAUGGGGUUUCCCUUGUAAAUUAACUUUUUGAUUUCCUCUUGCUGCCUUUAGAUGCCUCUCUUUAUCAUUAACUUUUGCCAUUUUUAUUAUAAUGUGGUCUUGUUGUAGAUCUGUUUUGGUUCAUCUUCUUUGGGACCCUCCGUGCUUCCUGUAUCUAGAUAUCUGUUUCCUUUUUUAGAUUUGGAAAGUUUUCAGCCAUAAUUUCUUCAAAUAUAUUUUCAAUUCCCUUUUCUCUUUCUUCUCCUUCUAGGAUUCCUAUUAUGCAUAUAUUUUAACACUUGCCUUUAGCUCAGCUUUCAUCUCGGCAAACACAUUUUCUAAUUUUUCUUGCUCCUCCUUAUAGUUUCUUGUACCUUUUUGCAGUUGAAAGCCUUUUUUAAUUCCUUCAGUAUUUUCAUUACCACCUUUUUGAACUCAGUAUCUGUUAAACUGAAUAAGUCUGUUUCAUUGUGUGCUUCUUCAGGAAUUCUCUUAUUUUUUAAACUGGGAAUGGUUCCUCUGCUUCUUCAUUUAUAUUUCUCUUACUCUGUGCGUUUAAGGGAAACAAGUAUCUACUGCAGUCUUGGAGGGCUAUUUAUAUGCAGGAGCAUCCCUGGGUAGCUUGUGUUGGUUUAGCCUUUUUUUUUCCUUGGCAUGAGGGCUGCUUGUGGUUUGGAGGCUUGCUGUCUCUUUCCUUCAAAUACACAGGCUAUUAUCCCUGCACACCUAUAUACUCACUAUCAAGGGAUAAUGGCCUGGCAGCAGGGAGCACCCAGUCGCAGGGCCCUUGGCAGCAGUGGUUGUGGUGGCAGCAGGCUGUGGGUGCUCCUGCAUGGGGGUGUGUGUGUGAGAAGGGCCUGGUUGCAGGACCCUUGGAAGCAGCUGGCUGCACACACCUCUGGAGUCCGAGAUGGUAGUGUGGCUUGUGCCUGUCCCUGUCCCUGUGGCCCAUGUCUCUUCUCACACUCACUAACCUGUACUUCACUAUACUCUAGCCCUUUCAGGUUGUUUCCACGCGGCCAACCUUAGUCCUCAAACCAGGUCACAACUCCUAAGCCUCAGCACUCAAACCUGCCCACUCCAGCAAAAGUGCUUCUCAGACUUGGGUGCACUGAGUGUCAGCACUGACCAUCUGCGUGGCUCUCCCUCCACUUUGCCCUCCUCAGGCUGGCUGCUGCAGUUUUCUCUGAGGCUUUGAAUUUCCCCUUCUGCCCUGGGUGAUCACCCCACCAGUCAGGGGGCCUCCCAGUGUGUGGAAACCUUUCCUCUUCCACAGCUCCCUCCCAGGAGUGCUGGUCUCAACAUGCUUCCUUUUUCUCUCUUUUUCCUUUGUUCUACCCAGUCAUGUGGAGAUUUUUUUUUUUUUUUUUUUUUUNNNNNNNNNNNNNUUUUUUUUUUUUUUUUUUUUUUUUUAUGUAUUUGUGGGAAAAGGUGAGCUCCAUGUCCUAUU